AUGGCCUCCUCUCCCACCGCCAAUCACCCCCCCGCUGAUCCCUCCCCAGCCACCAACCCCCCCAGCCCUCCCCUCCGUCCUAGCUCCUCUCCCGAUCCAGAUCCAGAGCCCCUGGCUGCCGAUGCUGAGGACGAAGACGGGNNNNNNNNNNNNNNNNNNNNNNNNNNNNNCCUCCCUCCGCUCAAGCUGCCGCCACCUCCAGAUCGGCUCCCCCCGAAUUUCACGCCGCUAGUCGUGACUGAUGCAUCGCUGGCAUCUAUAGAGAAGGGGUGGGUGGAGGUCGGGGGCCAGCAUCGCCGGAGGUUGGAGAAGCUUCCGCCCCGCAAGAAGGAGACCGACCGCGCCCUCGCCUUCAAGCGGAGAGCAUAUGGGCUCUGUUUCCGGUGCUUGGCGGAUGACCACUUCGUCGCCGACUGUCGUGGGCCUGUCACCUGCCUGGGCUGCGGCCGUUCUGGGCAUCGCGAGCGUGGCUGCCCGGACCGCCUCCUUGCUAGCCACGGUCAUCUCCGCAGCGCCCUGUUGCCGCCGGCUGCUCCUCGCCUCCCCAAGCACCCGCCCCCAGCUCCUUCACCGAGGUUGCAGAAGUGCUCGUGGGCCUCUAUUGUUGCCGCUUCGACUGGGCUCGUUCAAGGGUCACCUUGUAGCAGCCCCGACGAGUCGACCUUGGCUGCUGAUUUGGGGCUGUUGAAGCCCCUCUUUGCAGCUCAGACCGAGGCGCUACGCAACGAAUUGCAGGCUCUGGUUACCGCUCGUGUGGAGGAGAUCGUUCAACCCCUCCGUGACAUGGCCGUUGCUCUGCAGGGUUGGGCGGCCCAGGUCUCGGGCCUCUUGGAGCGGCUGGAGGUUUUCAGUGGCAAAGUGGUUGAUUUGCCGGCCUUCAAUCAGUCUCCUGAGGAGCGAGAGGGAGGGAUCUUGGGGAACAGUGGGGGAUUUUCUUCCCUGGAGCCAUUGGGUGUGCCUCCUCCCUGGUGCGAGCAUGAGGAGCCGGCGCCCUCUGUUGUCGCCGAUGAUGUUCUUCCUGCUAUGGAUGUAGCUCUACACGAGAUGGUAUGUCAAGGUGAGGAGGAGCAAGCUAAGGUUGCUGAGAAAGUCACAUCAAGCAAUGAUUUGGAGCAUUUUGAGGAGGCCUUACCUGAUGGUUUGGUUGGAGAGGUGCCUCCCUUUGUCUCCUCUUCGGUGACGUUUGCUUCAGGGGGCAUUACCAAUAUGGUGUCCUCUGGGUCCAAGGAGCCACUUGGCGAUGUUGGUGUGCCAUCAACCACCUUGUUGGAUGAGUUUCUAAGCGGCUUCAGUUGCGCAGCGCCACGGUCCUUGCUCGAAGAACCGAUUCAUGUGCGGAUUGACGGGGCAUCUACUUGUUCCGAGAGGCGUAGUGGACGUUUGGAGAAGAAGAACAGGAGCUGCAACAUCCCUACUUCCAAGCGCGCUGAAUAUAGGUUGGCGGAGGCUUAUGGGGAACUCCCGAAGGGGGUGGCAUCUAAGAAAGGCUCCGAGGAGGAUGUGCAAGAGAAGAUGAACUCUUAUCUUCGGAUGUACAAGAAACCGCCUACGUCGACUGCGAUCCAGGCAAUUCGUGCAUUGGUGGAGGCCAAUGGUUGA
rnacentral:rRNA from 1 species